rnacentral:rRNA from 4 species
AGUCAUAUGCUUGUCUCAAAGAUUAAGCCAUGCAUGUCUCAGUACAAGCCUAAUUAAGGUGAAACCGCGAAAGGCUCAUUAAAUCAGUUAUGGUUCCUUAGAUCGUACCCACAUUUACUUGGAUAACUGUGGUAAUUCUAGAGCUAAUACAUGCAAACAGAGCUCCGACCGGAGACGGAAGGAGCGCUUUUAUUAGAUCAAAACCAAUCGGCGGCGGGCUUGCUCGCCGUCGUACACCUUGGUGAAUCUGAAUAACUUUCUGCUGAUCGCAUGGUCUCGCACCGGCGACGCAUCUUUCAAAUGUCUGCCUUAUCAACUGUCGAUGGUAGGUUCUGCGCCUACCAUGGUUGUAACGGGUAACGGGGAAUCAGGGUUCGAUUCCGGAGAGGGAGCCUGAGAAACGGCUACCACAUCCAAGGAAGGCAGCAGGCGCGCAAAUUACCCACUCCCGGCACGGGGAGGUAGUGACGAAAAAUAACGAUACGGGACUCAUCCGAGGCCCCGUAAUCGGAAUGAGUACACUCUAAACCCUUUAACGAGGAUCAAUUGGAGGGCAAGUCUGGUGCCAGCAGCCGCGGUAAUUCCAGCUCCAAUAGCGUAU